UACUCCCGCAGCCCCUUCACAAACCACACGGCGUUACGGUACCAGGACAUGGCGGUGGUGCUUCUGCCGCCACAGGGGUGCCGGCCCCGCCUCUGCCCUUACAUAAGGCGCGCGGACAGCCCUGCCCGCCGUUAGGAGUUUUUGACUGAAGUGUUCUUAAGCAAUUGAUCCUGAUUCUGAUGCUCAAAAUGGAGACUUCUGGCCCAGAAAGGAACAACUUGGCAAUAGUAUGAGUGGCAGAAAGUUAUUUCCUACAAUGGAAAAUGAAUGGCAGCCUAAACUACAGAUACAUACUAUGAUGUCUCUACCUGUUUCUCUUCUUACUACUCUUCUAGUGGAUCUUACUGUUCUUCCUACCAGCUCUUGGACAGUGAUGCUCAUGGACUUAAUAACUCAGCACCUGUGGGACUUUCAUGUACUCCAGUAGUGAACAGGAACCUCAAGAAAUUCAAGCCACGAAGCAACAAUUUCAACUCACAGUCCUGAUGUAACAAUCCUUUCUGUAUUAUACGUAGA